AGUCACUUCAAGUGACACCCGCCUUUGUGUUAGUCUGUGAAUUCAAUUCUGCUUUGUGAUUCUUGAAAGUUAAACAGCCAGUCCUCAGGACUUAUAUAUUCAUUUUAAAGGCAAUCUUAAAUAGAAGUGUAUCACACUGAAAAUUACCAUUUCCUUGGAGAUUGAUUCUGAAUGUUUAAAUUUCUGCAGUAACUUUAAUCUUAGUCUAGAUUUCAAGAGGCAUUCCCUGGCUAGGAAAGCCAAUACAAGUGGCUUUAUCGAUUAUUUUCAGGUAAUGGACUUCAGGACAAUAAAAUAAUUCCAUUAAAGCAAGUAGAAUUGACAGCGUAUUAAUUUAUUUUUACAGCAUUUAUUGAGAACUUUAUGCACAGCACUGAAUGAGAUUCUGUGUAAGGAUUCAAAGAUGAAAAAGAUGAAAUCACUGCUCCUAAGGAGUUUGUAAUUUAGCAUGCAGGCAGAAGACAAGAAUAUGAAUGUUUCUGGUUCAAGAUAGUGUUAAAUAAGUGCCAUGGGAGCUUCUAAGCUCCCAUGUGUGGUUCAAAGCAGAGAGAAAAAGAGUGCCCCAAGAAAGGCAUCAUGGAGGAUGGUCCCUAAAGACUUGGUAUGGUUAGGGUAGUAUGGCAGUCAAAGGAAGCCUUCCAAAUGAGGAAACAAACCAAGCAAAGGUUGAAAAGUGUGGCAGUCACUUAAUGGUUUUCAUCAACAGCACUUUGCACAUUUGUCUGUUAUUAGCAUUUAGCCCAUGAUGUUAUAAUAAUAUGUUUAAAUGUAUGUCUCUAUGACUAUUCAUUAAUUCAACAUAUAUUUCUAUUGUCAUAUGCUGUGCACUGUCCUAGGUGCUAGAGAUAUAGCAGUGACCAAAACAGAUUCCUGCCCUUAUGUAGCUUAUAUUCUAGUUGGGGGAAGACAGACAAUAUAAACACAAGUAAAUUAUAUAAUAUAUUCAAAGAGUACAGAGUAGGAAGUAAACUAAAUUAGGGUAAGGGAAUGGAGAAUGUUAGUGGGUCAGAUUUUAAAUUGCUUAAUCAGAACAGGUCUCACCACAAAGAUAGCAUCUGAACAAAGACAAAGGAAAUGAAGGAGCAAGCUAUAGGAAUAUCAAAAGGAAGAACAUUCUAGACUAAGAAAAGAGCAAGAACAAAGGCCAUAAAGCAAGAGAAUGCCACGUUGAGAAUUACCUGUAAAAAGACAAGGAUGAAAUUAGGGAGGCCAGUUAGGAGGUUGUUGUUAUAAGGGAGAAAUGCAGGUGACUUAGACCGGUCACCUGCAGGUUAUAAUAAAUUGUCUGAUUCUGUUUAUAUUCUGAAGGUAGAAACAGCAUAACUGCUGAGCAGUUGGAUGUGGAGUUUGGAAGAAGAUAAUGAGUCAGUGUGGGUGACUGCAAAGUCCUGGGCCUCAACCACUUGAAGGAUGUAUGGAGUGGUCAUUAACUGGGAGAGUGAAAAAUUAUGAGUAGGGCUGGUUUGGGUGAGGGAAAGAGACUUGAAGAUCAUGGAGUGAUCUAGAAGGCAAGGAAAAUGUUUUGUGUAUUCCUGUUUACAUCUCUGCCAGCAUUAUAAUUAGCCCAUAAUUGGCACUAAAAUUAUUGAAUAAAUCAAAGAAUAUAUAAGCUAAUCUUGUACCCUUCCAUAGAUCAAAGCAGUUUAAGGAUAAGUUUUCACAAUUUGAGUCACACACCUUUACCAAAAGUCCUUGAAAACUGUAUACAGGAAUACAUACUAGUUCAAGUAAAAAUUUC
rnacentral:lncRNA from 1 species